UACGUAGGGAGCGAGCGUUGUCCGGAAUUACUGGGCGUAAAGGGCGCGUAGGCGGAAUCUUAAGUCAGGUGUGAAAACUCUGGGCUCAACUCGGAGACUGCAUUUGAAACUGGGAUUCUUGAGGGCAGGAGAGGAAAGUGGAAUUCCUAGUGUAGCGGUGAAAUGCGUAGAUAUUAGGAGGAACCCCAGUGGCGAAGGCGACUUUCUGGACUGCAUCUGACGCUGAGGCGCGAAAGCGUGGGGAGCAAAC
rnacentral:rRNA from 1 species